rnacentral:misc_RNA from 1 species
GAUGAAGAACGUAGCGAAAUGCGAUAAGUAAUGUGAAUUGCAGAAUUCAGUGAAUCAUCGAAUCUUUGAACGCACAUUGCGCCCGCUAGUAUUCUGGCGGGCAUGCCUGUCUGAGCGUCAUUUCAACCCUCAAGCCCCCGGGCUUGGUGUUGGGGAUCGGCGAGCCUCCGCGCCCGCCGUCCCCUAAAUCUAGUGGCGGUCUCGCUGUAGCUUCCUCUGCGUAGUAGCACACCUCGCACUGGGAAACAGCGCGGCCACGCCGUUAAACCCCCAACUUCUGAACGUUUGACCUCGGAUCAGGUAGGAAUACCCGCUGAACUUAAGCAUAUCAAUAAGCGGAGGA